rnacentral:lncRNA from 1 species
AGAAGACGGUUUGGUUUGGAGAUGGCAUCAACAACAACAACAACUGAUAAUUCAGCGUUUUCUAAGUGGAUUAUACUCGCAGCAUUUUGAAUUUGUCACAGAAAUUGAUAAGAACUUCACAGUAAGGUGCACUUUAUGUGCUGGUGGGAGGCCGAGGGAACUGUCUACGGCUAAAAAUAGUACAAGUAACCUCAAGAAACACCUGGAGAGAGUGAACAGCAGCCUCAAGCUAGCGGCUAAACGACCUCUUGCUAGUAAACAAGUGGAAGAUGACGGCGCGAGCAGAUCUAAACAACGACAGCUGGAUUUCUCCAGACCAGAGGUGAAGAUGCUUGACCCAGGAGAAGUGAGAAGGCUGGUGGCUGAGUAUGUCUUGGAGGAUGUGCUGCCUCUUUCUACAGUUGAGUCACCGGCGUUUCAAAAGCUUGUCUGCAAAGUCCCUGUUCGAUCAAGUGAGAAGACAAGCUGAUGAUCACAUCUGCGCAUCCCUGGAUUUUAAUUACGCGAUGUGUGCCUUUGCCCAGAAACUGGCGAGGGAAAAACAUCUGGUUAAAGCCUUCCAUUGUCAGACGGUGUCUCGCCAAUUAGAGGAAGAGGAGCCUUGGAGAGCUACCCUGCUAUGUCUUCCCUACAUUUCAGUCUGGAUAAUAGCUUGGGUUUGCCAGCAAGCGGUUAGUUUCAGGGCACGGUGCUGGAAGACCUACUUAAGGCUCUGUACUGUCGUAAUUCGCUGCCUGUUUGCUGGGGUUGAGUGGCACUUAAGUCUUGACAGGAGGACUGACUUGAAGUGGGAAAACAUGGCGUAACACCGCCUGUACUGCCUCUCUCGUUGCGGUGUGGAUGUCAAAACUCGCUCUGGGCAAUUCAGUGAGGAGCCUCCAGGAAAAUUUCACUCAUUGCAUAAAGUUCAAUAUGUCCAACCUUUGACCCCUGUCUUUUCUCAGACUUUGACUCAAUCCCACUCUGCCUGCUUUCUCCCAAAGCCUUGAGAAGUGAUUCAUUUGCGUCCCGGUGAAAUUCAAUGCACGCACAGAAUCUCUUUGCACUGAACUGUGGCUGGUGGGCUUUCACCCUUUGGAGUAGCGAAGUCUUCAUUGCUGCAUUGCCAAAAUAUCAUCACAUUACUGAAGGUCUUGGUCUGUUUUUUAUUAAUAUCUUCUCAUACUGAGGAAGGGCUGCUGAGAUGU